CUCCAGACUCCUACGGGAGGCAGCAGUGGGGGAUAUUGCACAAUGGGGGAAACCCUGAUGCAGCGACACCGCGUGGGUGAGGAAGCGCUUCGGCGUGUAAAGCCCUAUCAGUGGGGAAGAAAAAGGACGGUACCCAAAGAAGAAGCACCGGCUAAAUACGUGCCAGCAGCCGCGGGAAUACGGAGGAUGCGAGCGUUAUCCGGAUUUAUUGGGUUUAAAGGGUGCGUAGGCGGAAUAUCAAGUCAGCGGUAAAAAUUCGGGGCUCAACCCCGUCGUGCCGUUGAAACUGAUGUUCUUGAGUGGGCGAGAAGUAUGCGGAAUGCGUGGUGUAGCGGUGAAAUGCAUAGAUAUCACGCAGAACUCCGAUUGCGAAGGCAGCAUACCGGCGCCCAACUGACGCUGAAGCACGAAAGCGUGGGUAUCGAACAGGAUUAGAUACCCGAGUA
rnacentral:rRNA from 1 species